GGGGGACCUGAGGGUGGUACCUGACGAGGAUUCGGGCGGACGGUCUCGCUCACCAGUGCCGCCGUGGGGGGAGGGGGGAUGCCCGGCCGCCUCAAAGGUCACCUGCCAUAACUUAACAGGAGCCUGAGAAGCCAGGCCAAGGGAACACCUGAGCUUGACAGGUGACAACGCCACCUCCGUUCCGGCCACGCCUCCACAGAGGACGCCGCCACCGCCCAGCUCCAAGAUGGCUGCGUCACGCAGAACAGCGCCCUGCAGAAGCCCCGCCCCUCGCCCGGGGGCAGGUCCCCUGCGCGCCCCGCCCCCUCCACGCUUAGACCCGGAAGUGAUCUCCCGAGGCUGCAGUGGGCUUUGAGCGCCGCGGGCUGUGGAAGAGCGUUGACGGCGGGGAUCACGGAGCAGCGGAGAUGCCCGGAGCCUGCUGCCGGGCCUUCCCUCGCGGUGCCGCUCGGUACUGUCUUCACGAUAAACACCGCACGUUAACACUA
ensembl:lncRNA